ACCAGCCUGAACAACCUGAUGUAACCCCAUCUCUACAAAAAAUACAAAAAUUAGCUGUGUGUGGUGGCAUGUGCCUGUAGUCCCACCCUGAAGUAGGAGGAUCAAUUGAGCAUGGAAGGUCAAGGCUGCAGUGAGCAGUGAUUGUGCCACUGCAUUUCAGACUGAGCUACAGAGAAAAAAAAACUCAGCUCAAGAAAAAGCAUUCCUCCAAGAAGCCCUCCCUGUUGUUCCUCUGGAAUCCCACAGUCCCCAUCCUUCCCCUGUAGUUCUGACCCCAUGGGGCUGGCAGUAGAUACAUCCAACUUUGUCUCCCCUAGACUAGACAGCCCUCUAGAUCAGGCCUAGGAGUGGACAGUAAAAUUUAGAGAGUGCAACAGGUGAAGAGAGACGUGACUGACUCCCUCCUCUUUAGCUUCCCUUGACAACUUCCUCUCAGACUGCCCCAGCUGAUAUCCUGCCCAAAAACACACAUGCUUGCAAAUCCAGCCACUAACCAUUGACCUGUCUUGGACUCAAGUGUGAAGAGUCAGCCAAGAAUGCAGACCUGGAAGCCUAGGGUGUAUGUGUGUGUAUUUGUAGUCAAGUGAAAAUCCCACCCAAGCUCCAGACAGACCCUGGUGGCCCAUUCUGCAGAUGUUGGUGAGGUUGGUAUUUCUGUGGAGGUGUCAGCAAAGGUUGAAUGUGCCAGGCAUGAGGCAAAGGCCAAGGUUUAGGGGGACUUCUACACACACAACUUCCCCCUUGCCUCGUCCAGCCAGAAAGCAGAGAGCAGUGGCAUCUGCCCAGCACAGAGGCAGAUGGAUGGAUCCACUCACCCGAGGAUAGAGCAGGGAAGACGGGACAGGAGAAAUCCAAGAGGGCUUCUCAGGGGAGGAGGCAUGUAGUUUGGCUUAGAUACAGAGGCUAGACAGGGGCCUGAGCAGAUGAGUAGGGGACUGGGCAUUUGAAGCCAAGGGUCUUGCACCUCCCUACCCCUUUCUUUGCACCCUCAUACUCGAGCAUUUAUUAGCAACUUGUGCUAACCACUGAGCUAAGCUGACCUCCAAGUAAUUAGAAAGCUUAAGUAAACCAACAUCUGUAGAUGAGAAAGGUGACUGAGGACCUACUGUUACAAAGGCAAGGUAAUUUGAGGCUGCAAUGAGCUACGAGCAACUGUGUUCCAGCCUGGGAGACAGAAUGUAAAAAAAUAGUAAUAACAGAAAGUAUACAUCAAUCUCAAUUUUUUUUAAAAAGGCAGAUGGUUUUACAGUUGUUUUAUCAAAACUCAAAGAACAGGAAAGCCCAAAUUAUUUCAACAAAGUCAGACCUUUUAAACAGAUGAUAGCUGCCCAAGUCAUUUUUAUGAAACUUCUUUAUAUCAAAACCUAAGUCUAAAAAGAGAAAAGUGUUGACCUUGAUACGGGCUGUGUUAGGCAGAGAUUUCAAUGAAGUCCUCUCUGAAGAGGUGACAUUUGAUCUGAGACCUGAAGCACCAGAAAGAGGCAGCCAAGCCAGGAAGAGGCAGGAAUGGGAAGGUCUAGGGAAAGACUGGUCCUGGCAGGCGGAACUGCAGUGGCAAAGGCCCAGCGGUGAUCAGGAGCUUGGCAUUUGCAAAAAUAAAGAGUGUGUGUGACUGGACAGCGUGAGCAAGUGGGCAGAGGAGGAGAUCGUGAUAGGGUGUGCAUUGGUCAGGCCACCUAGGUCCUGGAGCCCACAGUGAGAAGCAUGGGCUUGACUCUGAGGGCAAAGGAGAGCCACGGAUAGUUUGGUGGUUGUUCCAGGGAUUAUAAUGUGCUUUUCCAUUUUUCCAACGAAUGAAGAACGAAGUGAUCGACUUCUUGCCUCUGCCGGGGCUCUGAAGCGCUGCCCCGAGGCGGUGGAUGGAGGGUGUCAGGCGUGACAUCAAGAGCUCUGCAGCCAGGGCCUGGGACAACCUCCCGCUCCACCUCCCCGGAGCCUCGCAGCCAGCAUCCCCAGCGGCCCGUGCGCCCCGGCCAAGCGGGACCUCAGCGCUGUGGCGGCCGCAGACCUCACCUGGGCAGGCCCCGGGCUGCAUGCGGACCGCCGGGCGCCCAGGACUCUAGAGGCAACCAGCGGGCUGGAUCCGCACAGCGGCCCUGGGAAAUGGAUGGUGUACAGGGGACAAAGCUACACACGUCUUUCAUUUUGGAGGGGGGAAAAAAGAAAAAACGGAAAUGAAAGAUAGAAAAUGUGUGGGCUCUCCGUCCUUUCCUUUGCUCCUGAGCGCUCUCUGGGGUGGGGGGCUCAGCGAGCUUCAAGAGGUGGCCGAGAUUCCCCCACCUCGCCCCCAGAUCCCCGGGAGAGGUCAGCACGGCCCCUCCCUUGGGUGUCACAGAGACCGAUGCGGGUCCCGCUCCCCGGGAAGGAGUGGGUCUGGGUCCAGUCCGCAGGAUCCCCUCGCGGAUGCUGACGCUGAAUGGAGUUGAGGUGGGGGCAGCGCUGGACCCCAGGGUCCCUGCCUGCCUCCUGGGGAGCCCGGUG
rnacentral:lncRNA from 1 species